GGUAUGUUACUGCGGUGCUGAUGGAGGGAAACACGAGAGUGUGAGGUGAACAUUGAUCCAGCACUUUUGUUUUCCUCAGGCGUAUGGUUUGGGACAAAAAAACUGCCGUUUCAUCGCAGAGGCAGUUUGCAAUGUUUGAAGGUCUUCUACCAAUGCGUCCAACUUGUCUUCAUCCUCCAAGAGGAUUUUUUAUGAGAAGAGAUCACAAGCUGAUGAGAAUUUGACAUUACAGUAAAAAAACAAAAAAAAAGCACUGACCUCAGUGCUGACUCACAAUCAUGAGGUGAUGAACGCUGAGAUCCAUAAACACAGGGGAGGAGCAUCGGUGAAUAGGAGUAGACAGAAGCUAACAGGUCAUUGUGGAUGAUCUGGAGGAUCUGCGUCUCUCUCCACCCCCACCAGUUGAAACAGGGGACAAGGACCUUCAGAGGCCUAUGAGAGUUCGGUGUUAUAUUGGAUGACUACUGAAUGGAUGCAGGGGUGAGUGCUGCGUGGCCAUCAUCUUCCUGAGGACCCUAUCCAUUACCGUGUCAGAGGGGUGUGUGAGAGCAGGAGUGGCAGGCUGUCAACACAAGUAUCACCAUCAAAGCCUAAGUCAAUGAGGAGCGUUGGAGGGAGUCUGGAUGCUGGCCCAAGGAGUGAGAGCAUCUGUGCUGGACACAACCCCAAUACACUGGACCUGCUCAACCAUUACACAGAUUUGAGACCUUGCUGUUAAGAUGAAAGAUGUGUGUUCAUAUGCAUGUACAACAUGAUGUUUGGAGGGCUUGCUGUUCUUACUGAAUAUGUGCUGGCAAUACGUCUGGAGCACUGGGCACACGCUUAGUGUUACCGGUACAAGGACAGAGGACUGUGCUGUUUCAUGUUGUGGUUGUCGUCCUGGGUAUUAAAGUCUCAGCUAAUUCUGUCAUUUUGUCUGCGCUGUAUCCAAAGCAGUCAAUUUGCUAAGUGUAUGUAGGCCCGAGCAACAGCCCCAGUUCAGAAGUCACUCCUGGGCCCCAGGCCUCACAUGCAGUAACACCGCCCCCUCUGGACUGGAGCAUGGGACAGGUACAGACUUAUAACUAACUCUUAGACAUUACCAUACCUAUGGCCAAUCAACAAAACUGAUGACUUUUGAGGGCUGUCUUCAAAAAAUAUCCGUGAAAGGUACCUAAGUAAAGAUAAGCAGGUCUUUUAAAUGUUUGGAUAUUUUCUUAGAUGUUGAUGGACCAGUCCAAUUAUGUGUAAAUACAGGCUUUUUGCAGCUCUUUGAUUGCUAGCCAUACUCUUUUCUGCUAUGACAUAAUUUGCUUUGUUGUUUUCUUCAAUAGCGCUCCAAUGACAUCAUUGUGUUGAAACUGAACAAAAGGCAUUGGGAAAAAAAGAAUAUGAGAGGUUCAGGAACGACCAUUACAUGAAUUGGAAAUAUUAUCCAGAGCAGGGAAAAGCUAUGAAUGUCUUUCUCCUAAUAAGUGUUUGCAUUUGAUCUGUAAUGUGGUGAUUAACUGUGUUGACUCUAUAGAACCUGCUGUUGUUCCUGUUUAAAUGGACCGAUAGGCUGCCAAGAUAAUCUGUAAACAUUUUUGUUGAGUGGUGGCACUCUCCUCUAAUUAGUGUGCUGGAUGCAAGAUUAGGCCUUGUAAUUAAUUGAUUAGACGUCUUGGGGCAUGGGUAUAUCAGUUCAAUCUAGACACACUGGUAUACCGGUCGAGCACAUCCCAUCCGAAUAGAAAAUCCAAGAUCUUGACAACAAACUGGAAAGUAAGGACUGUGGUGCACCAGGUUUCACCCUAUCACUUUUUCAACUCUUUUCUUUCUUUCUGUCUGAAGUCAGGUGUUUGGUGUGGCAUAUGUCAGCGUCUUACCUGUCUAGGCAUCCCGGCGUCCCUGCUGUCCUGGGAGUCAGCCAAGCGAUGUCAAUUAGCCGUAAGCCAAUGCCAUGACGCGCUCGGGCUGUACCAGGGCUACUGUAUCAUGUUCUGGCUCCCGCAGAGCGGGGCGCAUCUGCGCGGCACCAGGACGAGCGACACCGUUUACAUGGCUUCAACAGGCUCAUGUUCGGGCGUCUUUCUGAUGCGCCAUGAUAAACCCACACACUACAUACAAGCCAGAAAGGCGAGCCAGAACCCCCAGCUCCAGUUGCUCUCCCGCUAACAUCCCCUCCACACGGUUCCCCUGAUAUCACUCUCUCGUUUUGUCUCCACCACUCUCACAACAAACUCUCUCUUUCGGCCAUUUAUACAAUGUUUUUUCUCUGUAGAUGUCUUUGUUACAUUUUUUUCUCAUAUUCUGAAGAUUUGCCAUUGAUCGUUAUGUAGUGAGAUAAUUGUGGCAACUUUUGAUCUUCUUUGAUUAUAAAACUUGUACUUUGAGAACAAAAAAUGGGAUCUUAAAUAUAUUCUCUAUAGAUGUUUCAGUAGAAUUUAUUCCAUGUUUUUCCAUGUGAAAACAAAUAAUAGUUUUACAUAUGUUUUUUUGUUUUUCAAAUGAAGCAGUUUCAUAAAGCAUUUUCAUAAGGCACAUUUAAUUUGGUUUUUAGGUUCAAGUUUUGGAACUGCAAUAAAUCUUUCCUAUCCUCUCUUUGGGAAACACCAUUCGUCUCUAUGGAGCAUCCGAGAUCCCUCUAUUAGUAAUCUGAUCUGCUCUACCAGUUUGGUGUGCAAAGGUGAGACAAUGUAGAGACAGAAGGCAAUGAAUAUGUCUUCAUCUGUAGACAUCUAAAAUGGGAAUCCAGCUGUUUGUUUGUUUAAAUUGUUGUACGCUGUCACACUGGUGCAUGUUUGUGUAUGUGUACAUUCUGUUGGAGUGACAUUGUGGGUCAGUCAGAACUCAGAAGGUUGUACCUUAAACACAAGCUGCCCUUGACCUCAUCGAGUGUUCAAUGGAGGCUUACCUCCAGGACAAUCAAAAGGUUGUGGGUGUGUGCCGUAUCCAUGCCGCGGGAGCACAAGAAAGAAAAUCUCUUAAUUCUGAGGUAUUGUUCCCUUAAUCCCCCUGUCCAUCACACAUCAGUAAGUGUUUCUUUUCUGGCCGUCCAUCAGGGAGUAAGGAGGCAACUUUCAUCUGGGAUC
ensembl:lncRNA